rnacentral:tRNA from 1 species
GCAUCGGUGGUUCAGUGGUAGAAUGCUCGCCUGCCAAGCGGGCGGCCCGGGUUCGAUUCCCAGCCGAUGCA